UACGUAGGGCGCAAGCGUUGUCCGGAAUUAUUGGGCGUAAAGAGCUCGUAGGCGGUCUGUCGCGUCCGUUGUAGAAACUCGAGGCUCAACCUCGGGCUUGCAGUGGAUACGGGCAGACUAGAGUGCGGUAGGGGAGACUGGAAUUCCUGGUGUAGCGGUGGAAUGCGCAGAUAUCAGGAGGAACACCGGUGGCGAAGGCGGGUCUCUGGGCCGAUACUGACGCUGAGGAGCGAAAGCGUGGGAGCAAACGGG
rnacentral:rRNA from 1 species